CGCUCCAGCGCCCUCACUCCUGGCUCCCGACCCUGGGGCCUGAAAGCCUUCCAGCCUCCGCCCCCUUUCCUCCACUUCCGGCGUCUCUUAGCAACGGGAGGAGGCGGGAGCCUGGGAUGCGCACCCGUCUUUGGGUCGCUUGGUUAACCCUUGGUGGGUACAGAAGAGUGGGACUCCAGGGGGGAAGCUCUCCCUGUAUUCUCGGGGGGUCGCCCUCGCCAGGAGGCCACGGGGAGUCUCUGAGCAUCUCCUCACCAUUCCAUCCCAUCAGCCUCAGAAAGCAGACCGCAGGCUUUCCCUCCCACCCCACCCCAUCCCUCCUCCUAGAAAUCUCGGACUCCUCUUCCCACCUGUGCUUUCAACGCCUCAGAGGCCAAAGAGUCGCAAGAACUCAUCCCACCCAUUUUAUCGGAAAGGAGACUGAGGCCCACCCAGGGAAAGUGACUUGCCCGGAGCAGGCAUACGCCUGCCAGAGGCAGGAUUAAACCCCCAAAUCCUUAGCCAAACCGAAUAGCUUUUCCUUAUAGAUUUUCUAUGAAAAUCUCCAUCCCUUUGGUACCAAAUGGGCUAAAAUCCCAUAGCCUGGGAAAUGGGGGAAAUCCCCUAAAUGCGUUCUUUAGCCUUAAUCCCCUCGGGACUGGCUGACUUCAAAGCAGCAGCCUUAGGCUGGGGAUACCUGGCAUCCCAAAGCAGCUCCGACAUCCUCCUGAAGAACAGCAGCUAAUAUUUCUAUAUAGUACUUCCUCUGUGCCAGGAGCCAUGCUGAGAGCUUUACUCAUUUUGUCCUUAAAGCAACCCUGAGAGGAAGGUCCUAUUAUUAUUAUCCCUGUUUUCCAGAUGAGGAAACUGAAGCAAAUAGGUUACCGGGCUUGCUCAGGGCUCAUACAGUUAGUGUCUCAGGCUAGAUUUUGUCUUCCCUGAACUCCUUAUUCUUCCUGCUAUCACUUCUCUGCUUCCCUCCAGGUCUUUUCUUCAUGGAUUCAGCAUUGAAAACUUUCAUAAAACAACUUUGCUCAUUCUGAACUUCCUUCCUCAAAGGGCUGCUAAUGUGAUAAAAUUAGAUUCUUUAUGAAAGCACUCUUGAAAGUCAAGAAGUUCUUUUAAAAAAUGCAAGACAAACUGACUGUCAUCACUGUCACAGAGAGGGGUCAUAAAGUUUCACCUGAUUCUCAUACUCCCUUGAAUUACAACUCUAAUGGAUUUUUAAAAAGGUUUUCAAGACAUCACUCUCUCCUGGUUCUCCUCUGACCACUGCUCCUCGGUUUCCUUUCCUGCAUCCUUUUCCAGAUCAUGUCCUCUAACGGAAGAUAUCCCUCAGGGUCAUCGCAUGACUUUUAUUUUCUCUUUCUAAACUAUUUCAUUUGGUGAUCUCAGCAACUUUCAUGGAUUUAAUUGCUAUCUCUGUGCUAAUGAUCCUCAAAUAUACCUUUACUACACCACUCUCUCCAUUGACCUCCAAUUUCUCAUCACCAACUGCCAUUCAUACAUCUCAAAUUGGAUGUCUAGGAGACACCUUUAAUUCAAUAUAUUCAAAAUGAAACUCAUUAUCUUUCCUCCUAAACCUUCCUGCCCUUUUCUAUGGGCAACACUAUUCUUCUAUUCCUCUCUUAGGCUCACAAUCUAGGAACCCUCUUAGACUCCUCACUCUCCUCAUAUCCUCCUCAUAUCCAAGGGCUAUUGAUUACAUCUUUGCAACAUUUCUGAAAUAUGCCCCCUUCUCCCCUAUGACACUGCCCUCCCUCUCGUAGUCAACCUCAUCAACUCAUAGCUGAUUAUUACAAUAGCCUGCUGAGGGGUCUGCCUGUCCCCAGUCUCUCCCCUUUCCAUUCCAUCCUUUAUUCAACUAUCAAAGUGAUUUUCUUAAAGUGUAGCUCUGGUUAUAUCACCUUCUAUUCAAUAAACUCCAGUGGCUCCCUAUUGCAUCCAGGAGCAAAUACAAAUGAUUCUGUUUGGCAUUCAAAGCCCUUCUUGACCUAUCACCCUCCUACCUUUCCAGUCUGUUUAUACUUUGCUCUCUAUCAUCUAUUCUGAAAUCCAGACACAUUGGGCUCCUUGAUGUUCCCUCAAAGAAAGAUGCUCUAUCUCUUGGCUUUGGGUAUUCUGUCUGGAUGUCUCCCCAUACCUGGAACAUUCUCCCUUCUCCACUCUGGCUACUGCCCUUCCUGAUUUCCUUUAAGU